CAAGUACUCCCUCCGUCCGGAAUUACUUGUCAUCAAAAUGGAUGUGUCUAGAACUAAAAUACAUCUAGAUACAUCCAUUUCAAUGACAAGUAUUUUUGGACGGGGAGUACAAG
rfam:Triticum aestivum genome assembly, contig: Triticum_aestivum_CS42_TGACv1_scaffold_129397_2BL